rnacentral:lncRNA from 1 species
AAUGGCACUUUGGACAAUUUUUCCCUCUCAUGUGACUUUUGUCAUUUCUUACGUCAGUUGGAGCCAGCACCUCUCAAAUCCAUCUUCUAAAACCCAGAAAAUUGUGUGUAACACAUGAUGACUGAAAGGGAGUAGGCUGACCAGUUAAGAGCCUGCCACUGGAAUGGAAGGCUGUGGGAAGGUGAGGGGACGGUGGACAUCAACCGGGAAAAGCUGAAAGAUGGCGUUACCACGUAUCUACCCUGCUACCCUGCAUAGAAUUCCCAAGACCCAGGGUGGG